GAUGAACGCUAGCGGCAGGCCUAAUACAUGCAAGUCGAACGGGAUCCAGAUCAAAGCUUGCUUUGGUCUGGUGAGAGUGGCGCACGGGUGCGUAACGCGUGAGCAACCUACCCUUGUCAGGGGGAUAGCCCGGCGAAAGUCGGAUUAAUACCGCAUGACAUCAUUGAGAGGCAUCUUUCGAUGAUCAAAGAUUUAUCGGACAAGGAUGGGCUCGCGUGACAUUAGCUAGUUGGUAAGGUAACGGCUUACCAAGGCUGCGAUGUCUAGGGGCUCUGAGAGGAGAAUCCCCCACACUGGUACUGAGACACGGACCAGACUCCUACGGGAGGCAGCAGUAAGGAAUAGUGGUCAAUGGACGGAAGUCUGAACCAGCCAUGCCGCGUGCAGGAAGACGGCCCUAUGGGUUGUAAACUGCUCUUAGACGGGAACAAACGUCGGUACGUGUACCGGUCUGAGUGUACCGUAAGAAUAAGGAUCGGCUAACUCCGUG
rnacentral:rRNA from 1 species